GAAAUACUCCCUCCGUUUCAAAUUAUUUGUCGCAGGUAUGGAUGUAUCUAGAUGUAUUUUAGUUCUAGAUACAUCCAUUUCUGCGACAAGUAAUUUGGAACGGAGUGAGUAUAUU
rnacentral:pre_miRNA from 1 species